rnacentral:rRNA from 1 species
GACGAACGCUGGCGGCGUGCUUAAACACAUGCAAAGUCGAGCGGUAAGGCCCUUCGGGUACACGAGCGGCGAACGGGUGAGUAACACGUGGGUGACCUGCCUCUAGCUCUGGGAUAAAGCCUGGGAAAACUGGGUCUAAUACCGGAUAUGACUCCACGGCGCAUGUUGUGGGGUGGAAAGCCUUGUGUGGCUAGAGAUGGGCCCGCGGCCUAUCAGCUUGUUGGUGGGGUGAUGGCCUACCAAGGCGACGACGGGUAGCCGGCCUGAGAGGGCGACCGGCCACACUGGGACUGAGACACGGCCCAGACUCCUACGGGAGGCAGCAGUGGGGAAUCUUG